rnacentral:rRNA from 1 species
GACAGAGGUCCCGAGCGUUAGGCGGAAUCACUGGGUCUUAAAGCGUGUGUAGGCGGAUUUGUAAGUACCUUGUGAAAUCCCACGGCUCAACCCGUGGAACUGCUUGGUAUACUGCUUAUCUUGGGCCACUUAGGGGUUACCGGAACAAACGGUGGAGCGGUGAAAUGCGUAGAUAUCGUUUGGAACGCCAAUGGUGGAAACAGGUAACUGGGAGUGUGCCGACGCUGAGACACGAAAGCCAGGGGAGCGAACGGG